AGCAGCCGCGGUAAUUCCAGCUCCAAUAGCGUAUAUUAAAGUUGUUGCAGUUAAAAAGCUCGUAGUUGAAUUUCGGGAUCAAUAUAUCGGUCGUGCCAUUGGUACGUACUGGUAUCAUUGGUUUCUCCUUUCUGACGAACCAUGAUGUCAUUAAUUUGGUGUUAUGGGAAGUUAGGACUGUUACUUUGAAAAAAUUAGAGUGUUUAAAGCAGGCUCGCGCUUGAAUACAUUAGCAUGGAAUAAUGAAAUAGGACGUUUGAUUCUAUUUUGUUGGUUUCUAGGAUCGACGUAAUGAUUAAUAGGGAUAGUUGGGGGCAUUAGUAUUCAAUUGUCAGAGGUGAAAUUCUUGGAUUUAUUGAAGACUAACUACUGCGAAAGCAUUUGCCAAGGAUGUUUUCAUUAAUCAAGAACGAAAGUUAGGGGAUCGAAGACGAUCAGAUACCGUCGUAGUCUUAACCAUAAACUAUACCGACUAGGGAUCGGAUGAUGUUAAUUUUUAAUUAGACUUAUUCGGCGCCUU
rnacentral:rRNA from 1 species